rnacentral:tRNA from 1 species
GGGGUGGUAGCUCAGUUGGUUAGAGCAUCUGGUUGUCAACCAGAAGGUCGCGGGUUCGAGCCCCGUUCACCCCG